GACGAACGCUGGCGGCGUGCUUAACACAUGCAAGUCGAACGGAAAGGCCCUGCUUUUGUGGGGUGCUCGAGUGGCGAACGUGUGAGUAACACGUGAGUAACCUGCCCUUGACUUUGGGAUAACUUCAGGAAACUGGGGCUAAUACCGGCUAGGAGCGCCUGCUGCUUGGUGGGGGUUGGAACGUUUCGGCGGAUGGGGAUGUACUUGGGGCUGAUCAGCUUGUUGGUGGGGUAAUGGCCUACCAAGGGGUUGACGGGUAGCCGGCCUGAGAGGGUGAUCGGUCACACUGGAACGGAGACAGGGACCAGACUCCUACGGGAGGGAGCAGUGGGGAACAGUGGACAGUGGGCGAAAGCCUUAUCCAGCCAGCCGGCGUGUGUGAAGAAGGUCUUGGGAGUGUAAAGCACUUUAAGUUGGGAGGAAGGGCAGUAAGCUAAUACCUUGCUGUUUUGACGGUACCAACAGAAGAAGCACCGGCUAACUACGUG
rnacentral:rRNA from 1 species